GUCGCGUGCGGUUGUCACUGCUCCGCGCCCGGCACUUGCCCGGCACUCUCUCGCCUACCUCGCCUGCAAGCCCGCCACUCGCUCGCACUGGCGGAAAAGCCUCAGUCCUCCUCAGUGCCCUGCCACACCACCGUCGGAGUGCGCGUAACGAACCGCGCGGCUUCUCUUUAAAUUAGUAUGUGAAUGCGAUAUUUUUUAACGUUGUUUGUUCUACGCGAAAACGAGUGAAAUGUUAUUGUUCGCUCACUGAUCGUUACUUCGUGCAUUUACUUCGCUCUGCACUCGGACGUUACUCCAUGAGGAACUGGUGUUUUAAGUUUUAAGGAUCCUUCGUCAGCACGCCUCAGUUAUGAUCAUUAGAAUACCAUGUCUCCUAUUAGUAUUAGCAAGCGUCUUAUUUUUACAGACAACAGGUAGCCCAUUCAUUCAACAGAGUGCAAGAAGUAAAAGACCUUUCAUAAGAUGGAGGCCGCCUACCGAUACUUGGAGUUGGACCUCGACACCAAGGAACGAAGAACCUUUCUUCAGACCUUCCAAUUUUACUCACAAACUGCCACCGACAGCGAAUGAAACUGAAAUACUGGCGCAAAUGGCUUCUCUAAAGAGAAAUUACUCGCGACUUCUUUGGGACAGCGAUAAAAGCACCAAUUUGCCAUUAUUUGUAGACAAAGCUUUGAAACUUCUGAAUUUAAAACAAGUAUACUAUGAAGUGGAACAUUCAGUGAUGUCGAGAGUGUCGUGCACGGCGUGCAAGGCGGGCGCCGGACUGUUGCAGCAUUACAUCAAACUGGGAAAAAGUAAGGAAGAAAUAAACAAGAUGAUCUAUCAGUUCUGCGUCUCCCUCAACAUACAGUCGGCUCGUGUAUGUGAAGGUAUAACCAGGUUGUUCGGGAGCGAGGUUGUGUACGUUUUAAAAAGAAUUACAAUAGGACCUAAUGAGAUUUGCAGCUUUGUAAUUGGCGAUGCCUGUGGUGACGUGUACAACCCUUACCACGAGUGGGAAGUAGCGUUCCCGCCGGUUCCGAAACCAGUUGUGAGGACAGUAGACUCUCCAAUGGAAAAAGCCCCGACAUUCAAAGUUCUUCAAAUAUCUGAUACUCAUUUCGAUCCUUACUACGCCGAAGGUGCUAAUGCGGAAUGCAACGAGCCUCUUUGUUGUCGGGCAUCCAGCGGGCCCGCGCUGACGCCGGGCGGCGGCGCCGGCCGCUGGGGGGAUUACCGCAAGUGCGACACACCGAAGCGUACCAUCGACCACAUGUUGAAGCACAUAGCUGACACGCAUCCCGACAUAGAUUACAUUCUAUGGACGGGAGACUUGCCGCCGCACGACGUUUGGAAUCAGACUAAAGAAGAGAACUUGAAGGUUCUCCAGGAAACUGUGGUGCAGAUGUCGGACAUGUUUCCUGGGGUUCCCAUAUUCCCUGCUCUCGGAAAUCACGAAUCUUCCCCGGUAAAUAGCUUCCCUCCGCCGUACAUCUCCUCGUCGGAGUCUAACAUCGCGUGGCUGUACAACGAGCUGGACACGCAGUGGCGGCGCUGGCUGCCGGCGGGGGUGUCGCACACGGUGCGCCGCGGCGCCUUCUACUCCGUGCUCGUGCGACCCGGCUUCCGCAUCAUAUCGCUCAACAUGAACUACUGCAACAAUAAGAACUGGUGGUUAUUACUGAACAGCACAGAUCCGGCUACGGAACUGCAAUGGUUGAUAUACGAGCUGCAGUCGGCGGAGUUCAGCGGAGAGAAGGUUCACAUCAUCGGCCACAUCCCGCCCGGCCACUCCGACUGCCUCAAAGUCUGGAGUCGGAACUACUACGCCAUUAUAAACCGAUACGAAUCAACCAUAACCGCUCAAUUCUUCGGUCAUACGCAUUUUGAUGAAUUCGAAGUCUUUUACGAUCCUAAUGAUCUCGGAAGAGCAACAAGUAUAGCUUAUGUUGGACCCUCAGUAUCGCCAUAUUAUGAUUUAAACUUAGGAUAUCGCAUUUAUUACGUUGAUGGGGACCAUGAUGCUACAACGAGGCUUGUAGUUGAUCACGAAACUUGGAUCAUGAAUCUCAAAGAUGCUAAUCUUUUUGGCUACCCGAUUUGGUACAAGUUAUAUUCGGCUCGGUCCGCGUAUCAAAUGCAAGCGUUACGGCCGCAGGAUUGGGACAAAUUCAUAGAUGAUAUGACAUCCAAAGAAGACGUUUUUAAUUUGUAUUUCAAACAUUAUUGGAAGAACAGUCCCCGUCGCGGGUCAUGUGACGGCGAGUGCCGCAAGCGUCUCGUGUGCGACGCGCGCUCGGGCCGCUCCCACGACCGGCGCGCUCUCUGCGGUCACAUAGAGGCGCGCAUUGACAGCACCGCGCCCGCACCGCAGACGUGGCGCGCCUGGCUGUACAAUGGCCUGUCUGUUUCAGAUAGUCCUAGUGUACAGCAAGUAUGAGCGGUGGUGGCUUUAUUUUAGGUCUGCAAAUAAAAUAUGGUGGAUGAAGAACUUGUAAAUAAAUUAUCAAUGUUGAUGCAAUUACCACAAGUGGCUUAUCAAAUACCAAAGUUUAUAAUGGGGUUGGGAUGAAAUUUGAAAG